rnacentral:rRNA from 1 species
CCUACGGGAGGCAGCAGUGGGGAAUUUUGGACAAUGGGCGCAAGCCUGAUCCAGCUAUUCCGCGUGUGGGAAGACGGCCUUCGGGUUGUAAACCACUUUUGUAGAGAACGAAAAGUCUAUUGAUAAUACCGAUAGAUGAUGACGGUACUCUAAGAAUAAGCACCGGCUAACUACGUGCCAGCAGCCGCGGUAAUACGUAGGGUGCGAGCGUUAAUCGGAAUUACUGGGCGUAAGGGGAGUGCAGGCGGUUUUGCAAGAUGGAUGUGAAAGCCCCGGGCUUAACCUGGGAAAGACAUACAUAACUGCAAGACUAGAGUGCGUCAGAGGGGAGUGGAAGUCCAAGUGUAGCAGUGAAAUGCGUAGAUAUUUGGAAGAACACCGAUGGCGAAGGCAGCCCCCUGGGACGCAACUGACGCUCAUACACGAAAGCGUGGGGAGCAAACAGGAUUAGAUACCCGAGUAGUC